ensembl:lncRNA
GAGGCAUUGCAGAAAGGAGGAGCAUCUGCUGACUUGUUGGUCUUCUGAAAACUGACGCCCUCUAAGAUCAGAGGUGAACCAGUCUGGGAUCAUUUUACUGAAGCAUGAGAGAGGACACAACUCUCAAGCUGAAUUAGGCCAUUUGGAGAGGUUUACCAAAAUCUCCAUGGGUUACAGACGCAAGACUUUUCUCUCAAACUGGUCUGGACUGAGCACUUAGUGUUUGUAGAUGUAGUUGUAGAUAUUCUCAAUUUAUCCAGAAGCUGGGGAGGACCUGAACUGGGCCCAAUUGUUCUGAAAGAGAGAAGAAGCAGCACAACUGUCCUCUAACAAAAAUGGUACAUUUAAGGAGAAGGUUCAGGAAUCAGCGCAGGCAGCAUUAGCCCCAGAGGCUGGCAAGGCGGCUGAAUGGAUGCAGACGAGCUGCUCUCCCCAAGCGGGCGGGCUCUGCCAACACCUGUGAAGUGAAAACCCGUCUGCGCCGCAGAUCUUCUGUGUUGUACUGGACCCAGCCCUUUCCAGCUGAGCUGUGGUGACCCUAAACACUGUCCUGAGAUAUGUUUUGGGGCUGCUGUCUGGGCUCUGGUGCUACUUGCAGCUGCUCUUGAAUAUCUUCAACUGAUCAUCAGCUGGAAUAGCUGAAGUGAAACAAACUUCCCAUGAUCCACCUACCUUGAAGAACAGAAUCACUCUGGUAGGAGUAAAUUAUUGUGAGUGAGAAAAGCCUGACUGCUGGCUGCCUUUCUUGCCUUCCAAAUCUUAGAGCAGUGAGAAAUGGAGACAUGGUUUGGGUCAGCAUCCAGGUACAGAGCACGCUUCACCUGCCAUGAACUGGGGAUGGGGAAGCAAAGGGAAGAGUGCUGCUCUCAGAAGGCUUCCUGGUAGGGAGAAUCCUCAGUAGCAGAGCUGCUCCGAGCUGCUGGGGCAUGCAGAGGAGCUGCAGAUGGGGCCGAGAGUCCAGCUUGAUACUUCUCUGGUCAGCCACCAGUUACAGCAUUAUCAAAUGCUCACUAGAGGACACUUAAAGUCUCCUAAAUAUUUAUGGAGUUCAAAGUCACUGCAAUGCUCUGCGAUGCUCUUACUAUUAUUAUUUUAUUGCCAGCAGAUUGAGGCAAUGAGAGGUGAAGUGUCUUGCUUUUUGAAACAAUGCCCAGUGUCAAAUUUCCACCAGAAGCAGUCACCACAAACAUCUAGAUGGAUUAGCUAAACCUGUGCCUUCCCAUUAAUGAUGUAUCACACAAGAAGACCCUGUGAAGUUUUAGGUUGAGAACGUCCCCUGAAGACCUACAGAGAAAACAGCUCAAGCAAAUGUUCCUGCAUUGGUUUACUGCAGCCCAAGCCAGACGUCUUCUCUGUGAAUAGAGCAAAAUAGGCAGAAAACAUUGGUCAUGGACUUUUCUGUACAGUACAGCAUUGUUCAGAGAUCAUGGGAACUUCAUAAAGAUAUCAGACAUACUUCUCCAUUGCAAUGAGCUACAUGUAAAUAAUUAAUUUCCUGGAAACACUCAGAUAUUCUAAUUACACAGGAUUUGCUACUGGACACACAUCUUUGAAAAUAAUUUCAGUGCAAUUAUAAAGGUAUUUUGUGUGAAUAACACCAUGAAAAAAUACUAAACAUGCUAUUUAUUCACUCAGGGAAAAUAUACUAUUUAUUUUUUUCUGCAUAUUUAAAGUUACUUGGCUAAUUAAUUAGAUAAUAAAAGCUAGAGUUAAGUUUUCAUUUUUCAUUGCAACACAUUGCAUAAAUGAUACUGUUAUAAAUGUGUACCUCUGCAUUAGGUAAGCGCAUUUUGGUCAGCUGAUUGAGUCAGAUUUUUAUUUUAAUUCCUUUCCAGUUGAUCUUUUUUGUAGUGUAAAUUUAAAGUAGCAUGGUGACUACUUUUACCUGUAAUUUGGGCCUUCCAAACAGCACCAAAUUGUGCUGUCCCGCCCUUCCAUUUGUUACAGUGACUAGUGAAAAGAAGCAACAUAUUAAUGCCAGUCCUAUAAAAGUAUCUGUGAAGAAAACAGUUUUUUACCACAAAGGGUAAGUUCUAUAUGAGUUUAUAUUAGGUAUUUGUCAAAGGACUUUUUUUUCCCUGUUAAAGAUGGAGUCAUAUGAAUCAUAAAAAUAUUAAUAUUUGAGACAAAAUAUCACUACAGGUAUGUCACCACAAAAAUCAAUUGUCAGUAUAUGUUUAAGAGUAGCAAAUCAAUGUUAACUGAUUUGCCUAAAAAUGCCUAUAGACUGUGGAAUGUAAAGCCCUCCUUCAAAAUUCACAUAGCAUGUCCAGUUUUUUUAAAUGAACUUGUUAUUACAUACACAUAUUCUAGAGGCCUUUCAAGAGUUUCAAUUUUAAACAAAAAUUAUAUGUAAAUGCAAAGUCUGAUAUCUUGCCUGUAGUCACAGAACCCACUUACAGGACUUGCUGCUACUGCUGGUUUGUGGUAAUGCAUCAAUUUCGCAUGAGCUCAGGACAAAUUGGUGAACAUAAUUUCAGCCACAUGAUGUCAUUACAAAUACAGCCUUAGCUCUUUCAAAAGUGGACUUUAUUGUUAAUAUAAAUAUAUAUAUGUAAUUACUGACAUUUAUAUUAUUUGGCUCCUGUCCUAAGUUAUAGAUACAGUGAUGAUAAAAGGGUCUUGCCAGCCCUUACCUAAGAAAACUGUGUUUACUAAUUACCUCCCAUGGUUCUGGGUUCCUGUAAAUAAAGUCACGCAUGUAUUUAUAAGCAAGU